UGGCUGAAGUUUGUGGAUCUCAAGAGGCCUUUGCUGUGGUUUUUUUGGGUGCAGGACAGUUUUUUGUUUGGGUCAUCUGCUGCCCUGUUUUCUGAUUGCUCCAAGCCAAAUGAAGCUGGCCUAUCUGGAAUGUUGGGACUUGGGCCUGCUGCUGUUGGCUGGACGAUGAUGGUCUGUGGAGGCAGUGGGAUGUUUGGGUGGCUGAUGAUAGUAGCUGAUGGUGGUGUUGUGGUCUGCCAUGGCAGCUGAUAUGGCUGAAGUUUGUGGAUCUGAAGAGGCCUCUGCUGUGGUUUUAUUUGGGUGCAGGACAUUUUUUUGUUUGGGUCACCUGCUGCCCUGUCUUCUGAUUGCUCCAAAUCAGAUGAAGCUGGCCUAUCUAGAAUGUUGGGACUUAGGCCUGCUGCUGUUGGCCGGAUGAUGAUGGUCUGAGGAGGCAGUGGGAUGUUUGGGUGGCUGAUGAUGGUAGCUGAUGGUGUUGUGGUCUGUCAUGGCAGCUGAUAUGGCUGAAGUUUGUGGAUCUGAAGUGGCCUCUGCUGCGGUUUGUUUUUGGGUGCAGGACAGUUUUAUGUUUGGGUCAUCUGCUGCCCUCCUUUUCUGAUUGCUCCAAGCCAGAUGAAGCUGGCAGAAUGUUGGACUUGGGCCUGCCACUGUUGGUCAGACAAUGAUGGUCUGUGGAGGCAGGGGGAUGUUUGGGUGGCUGAUGAUGGUAGCUGAUGGUGGUGUUGUGGUCUGUCAUGGUAGUUGAUAUGGCUGAAGUUUGUGGAUCCGAAGAGGUCUCUGCUGCGGUUUUUUCGGGUCCAGGACAGUUGUUUGUUCGGCUCAUCUGCUGCCCUGUUUUCUGAUUGCUCCAAGCCUGAUGAAGCUGGCCUAUCUGGAAUGUUGGGACUUGGGCCUGCCACUGUUGGCCGGAUGAUGAUGGUCUGUGGAGUCAGUGGGAUGUUUGGGUGGCUGAUGGUGGUGUUGUGGUCUGCCAUGGCAGCUGAUAUGGCUGAAGUUUGUGUAUCUGAAGAGGCCUCUGCUGUGGUUGUUUUUGGGUGCAGGACAGUUUUUUGUUUGGGUUAUCUGCUGCCCUGUUUUCUGAUUGCUCCAAGCCAGAUGAAGCUGGUCUAUCUGGAAUGUUGGGGCUUAGGCCUGCUGCUGUUGGCCGGAUGAUGAUGGUCUGUAGAGGCAGUGGGAUGUUUGGGUGGCUGAUGAUGGUAGCUGAUGGUGUUGUGGUCGGCCAUGGCAGCUGAUAUGGCUGAAGUUUGUGGAUCUGAAGAGGCCUCCCCUGUGUUUUUUAUUUUUGGGUGCAGGGUUUUUUGUUUGGGUUUUCUGCUGCCCUUUUUUCUGAUUGCUCCAAGUCAGAUGAAGCUGGCCUAUAUGGAAUGUUGGGACUUGGGCUUGCUGCUGUUGGCCAGAUGAUGAUGAUCUGUGGAGGCAGUGGGAUGUUUGGGUGGCUGAUGGUGGUGGGUCUGUUUUUACCUCAUGGAUGGUUGAUGAGGAUGAUGGAAUUUGAUGUUUGGUAGGUGUCUUCUGCUGUAGUUCUGGGAUGAUGUUACAGGGCUUGCCGUGGCUGCUGUGAUGGUGGUUUGUUUACAGGUUUAUGUUGGCUGCAGGUUUUUGUGACUUGGGAUCCAGAGAUUUGGAGUGCUGGGGUCAUGCGAUUGGCGAGUUCAUGUUUAGAGGUUGAUUUUAUCCUGGUUGUGGCCCAGAUUAGAGUAGGGGGUUCAGCAGCUCAGAGAUGGUUUUUCAUCUAAGCAGAGCUAGUUUUUUUUUUUUUUUUUUUUUUGUUUUUGUUUUUCUUUCCAGCAAAUCAGAAUUGGCCAUCCAUCAGUCUUAUUGCAUUUCCCUCUCUCCUCUCCUUUCUCAGUCUAAUAACAGCUGGGCCAGCAGAGCAGAGUUGCAGGCUGUAGAUAUGGAGCUCUGUUGCAGUUUGCGGCUGCCUGGCAGGUUGAUCGAAUUCGGUUGUGUGGGACAUCUUGUUGCAAACGAUCUCGACCAUUAAUUGUAAUCACAUUUUGCUGAAGAACGUAUUCUAGAUGAAUGGACUAGUUAUUUCAUGUGGUUUGCAAAAUCAUAUGCUGCAAUGAGUUGUGGGAAGACUAGUCUUGCGGCUCAUUAUCAGAACCAUGGAUACACUGACAAUGACGAAUCAUGGCACCUCAGCAAUCUGUGUGCAUUUUCACAUUCUUUUUUCGCCUAAGGUUUUUUCUUUUUCAGUGAAUGUGUCUGGGAAGUUGAAGACGUCGGUGACUGUUGGUUUGGAAUGAAAAGAAUUGAUGUGCUUGUUUUGCUUAGGCA